rnacentral:misc_RNA from 1 species
GAUGAAGAACGCAGCGAAAUGCGAUAAGUAAUGUGAAAUGCAGAAUUCAGUGAAUCAUCGAAUCUUUGAACGCACAUUGCGCCCGCCAGUAUUCUGGCGGGCAUGCCUGUUCGAGCGUCAUUUCAACCAUCAAGCCCCCGGCUUGUGUUGGGGACCCUGCGGCUGCCCGCAGGCCCUGAAAACCAGUGGCGGGCUCGCUGUCACUCCGAGCGUAGUAGCAUAUAUCUCGCUCAGGGCGUGCUGCGGGUUCCGGCCGUUAAAAGCCUUUUUUUACCCAAGGUUGACCUCGGAUCAGGUAGGAAGACCCGCUGAACUUAAGCAUAUCAAUAAGCGGAGGA